rnacentral:rRNA from 1 species
UAGAGUUUGAUCAUGGCUCAGAUUGAACGCUGGCGGCAGGCUUAACACAUGCAAGUCGAGCGGUAGCACAGGGGAGCUUGCUCCCUGGGUGACGAGCGGCGGACGGGUGAGUAAUGUCUGGGAAACUGCCUGAUGGAGGGGGAUAACUACUGGAAACGGUAGCUAAUACCGCAUAACGUCGCAAGACCAAAGAGGGGGACCUUCGGGCCUCUUGCCAUCAGAUGUGCCCAGAUGGGAUUAGCUAGUAGGUGGGGUAAUGGCUCACCUAGGCGACGAUCCCUAGCUGGUCUGAGAGGAUGACCAGCCACACUGGAACUGAGACACGGUCCAGACUCCUACGGGAGGCAGCAGUGGGGAAUAUUGCACAAUGGGCGCAAGCCUGAUGCAGCCAUGCCGCGUGUGUGAAGAAGGCCUUCGGGUUGUAAAGCACUUUCAGCGAGGAGGAAGGUGGUGAGCUUAAUACGCUCAUCAAUUGACGUUACUCGCAGAAGAAGCACCGGCUAACUCCGUGCCAGCAGCCGCGGUAAUACGGAGGGUGCAAGCGUUAAUCGGAAUUACUGGGCGUAAAGCGCACGCAGGCGGUUUGUUAAGUCAGAUGUGAAAUCCCCGGGCUCAACCUGGGAACUGCAUUUGAAACUGGCAAGCUAGAGUCUCGUAGAGGGGGGUAGAAUUCCAGGUGUAGCGGUGAAAUGCGUAGAGAUCUGGAGGAAUACCGGUGGCGAAGGCGGCCCCCUGGACGAAGACUGACGCUCAGGUGCGAAGCGUGGGGAGCAAACAGGAUUAGAUACCC